UAAACGUGAGGCAAUUAGAUUGACCCACGUGGCCUUCCAUCGUUAUAAGUAGGAACCGAUUCCCGGUGUAGGUUGAGUUGGUCGAGUCCCUCGAGACUCACCUAUAUCGCGAUUCGCUAUCUUGCUUACGACAUAGAGAUGUCACCGGUGACCUGAGGACAUGGUAUGCUUGGUCGAGUCCCUCGAGGGUAUAUCAUCAAAUCAGACUCAUCUUGUAACAAAGGUGUUGACUUAACCGAGCA
rnacentral:lncRNA from 1 species